rnacentral:hammerhead_ribozyme from 1 species
AUCUAGUUGAUGAGUCCCAAAGAAGACGAAACGCGUGUCCUGAAU